GAUGUACUCCCUCCAUUCCAAAAUUCUUGUCUUAGAUUUUUCUAGAUACGGAUGUAUCUAAUACUAAAACGUAAUUAGGUAUAUCCGUAUUUAGACAAAUCUAAGACAAAAAUUUUGGGACGGAUGGAGUAACAA
rfam:Triticum aestivum genome assembly, contig: Triticum_aestivum_CS42_TGACv1_scaffold_558758_7AL